UCAGCGGCGGACGGGUGAGUAACACGUGGGCAACCUGCCCGCAAGACCGGGAUAACUCCGGGAAACCGGAGCUAAUACCGGAUAACACCGAAGACCGCAUGGUCUUCGGUUGAAAGGCGGCCUUUGGGCUGUCACUUGCGGAUGGGCCCGCGGCGCAUUAGCUAGUUGGUGAGGUAACGGCUCACCAAGGCGACGAUGCGUAGCCGGCCUGAGAGGGUGACCGGCCACACUGGGACUGAGACACGGCCCAGACUCCUACGGGAGGCAGCAGUAGGGAAUCUUCCGCAAUGGGCGAAAGCCUGACGGAGCGACGCCGCGUGAGCGAAGAAGGCCUUCGGGUCGUAAAGCUCUGUUGUGAGGGACGAAGGAGCGCCGUUUGAAGAAGGCGGCGCGGUGACGGUACCUCACGAGAAAGCCCCGGCUAACUACGUGCCAGCAGCCG
rnacentral:rRNA from 1 species